rnacentral:rRNA from 1 species
UACAGAGGGUGCAAGCGUUGUUCGGAAUUACUGGGCGUAAAGCGCGUGUAGGCUGCGAAGUAAGUCGGACGUGAAAGCCCUUGGCUUAACCAAGGAAGUGCAUCCGAUACUGCAUCGCUUGAGUGCCGGAGGGAUGGCGGAAUUCCCGGUGUAGAGGUGAAAUUCGUAGAUAUCGGGAGGAACACCUGUGGCGAAGGCGGCCAUCUGGACGGUAACUGGACGCUGAGACGGCGAAAAGCGUGGGUAGCAAACAGG